UAGGAGGUCCUUCUUCAUUCAGGAAGUAUAAUAACAGAAGGACAUUGAAAGAUUACCAGAGUCCUCAAGAUCAUCUCACAGGAGGAGUCGCAUCAGGAGGGAUGCUUAACAGGAGGUGCGCCCUCUAGUGCCAUAUUGCAGUGUUUGCUUUGUGUGAGCUGCUGAAAGCGAGAACGGGUCAUUCAUCCUACCCCAAAGGAUGAUCGGCGAGCCAGCUGGAAGAGUGGCCAGUCUCGAAGUUCUUUCGCGGAAUGAAG